AACGAACGCUGGCGGCAGGCUUAACACAUGCAAGUCGAACGCCCCGCAAGGGGAGUGGCAGACGGGUGAGUAACGCGUGGGAAUCUACCCAGUUCUACGGAACAACUGAGGGAAACUUCAGCUAAUACCGUAUACGCCCUACGGGGGAAAGAUUUAUCGGAAUUGGAUGAGCCCGCGUUGGAUUAGCUAGUUGGUGGGGUAACGGCCCACCAAGGCGACGAUCCAUAGCUGGUCUGAGAGGAUGAUCAGCCACACUGGGACUGAGACACGGCCCAGACUCCUACGGGAGGCAGCAGUGGGGAAUAUUGGACAAUGGGCGCAAGCCUGAUCCAGCCAUGCCGCGUGAGUGAUGAAGGCCUUAGGGUUGUAAAGCUCUUUCAGUGGGGACGAUAAUGACGGUACCCACAGAAGAAGCCCCGGCUAACUUCGUGCCAGCCGCCGCGGUAACAC
rnacentral:rRNA from 1 species